CGGCCGCGCCUUCCGAGCUGCUCCCUCUGCCGCCUCUUGCAACCACUGGUUCCUAUCGCCUCCUGAGCCGCUGUCGUCCUUCCGCCCCAGGGACUGAUGGUCGUCGAUCUGGGGGCACAAUGAGAGGCGAGAAAAGCUACUACUGCCGUGGGGCUGCUGGGGACAGCCAAUGGCCAUCAAGAUAAAGUAUGUGCUAGCCUUAAUUUUGGCAGUAAGUCACAGCAAACAUUUGGUAGUCAAUCAGAACGAACUUCUUCAUACUCUGGUUCAAAUGCAAGCCCAGGACCUUUUAUUCUUCCAUCCUAUCCUCUCUCCUCACCUCGAACUAGUCCAAAGCACGCAUCUCCUCUUUCUGUGUCUCCAAAGAAGUCUCGUCAGACAUAUUUCCAACAUUUGGAUCAAAACCCUGUUCAACAAGACUUUCUUCUGCAAAGAAGAUCUCCCCUGCUGCUGAACAGAGUUCCAGUGCAGGGAUAACUACAUCCAGUGUAAGCAUAAUUGGUCAACGUAUGAACUAUGGGUUUGGAUGUGGUGAUUUUGAAGAGGAUAGGUCACAUGACAUUUUACCUAGUGCUUUAAAAAUACAAAAUAAGGAACAUCCAAGACAUAAGCAUACAAAAGGAUUUACAAGGUCAUCAAAUUUACAGCAGAUUUCUAGUUUUGACUUCACAGCUACAAAUACCUUAUCAGAAGACUCAGUAGUAAUUGUUGGAAAAGGUGUAUUUGGAAAUCCAAAUUCAGCACCAACAACUUGCAACCAGCCAGUGAUAUCCUCUGUGGAAAAUGAGGAUACC
rnacentral:lncRNA from 1 species